UCCUGAGUUAGCUACCCGCUCUCGUCUGAGUUCAGAAGCUAAGCAGAGUCAGGCCUGGCUAGUGCUUGGAUGGGAGGCCACCCCAGAAUUCAUGGGAUCUCUGGAA
rnacentral:rRNA from 1 species